CCCUCCGGCUCGCGACAACGAAGCGCCGCGGUCUGAGGCGGCGGUGAUGGUGCGGCGGGCCGAGUGAGCGAAGGAGUCGGUCCUGCGGCCCGCCCCGCCCCCGGACCCUGGUCUCCAGCCCCCUCCCUCUCGGCGCUUCGGUUACGGCGGUUAGUGCCGCGCGGGCCCCGGGGCUGACGGCGUCGCCGCGCCGGCAGCUGCCCUGACGGACCUCGGCGCGGCCUGGAAGCCAGCCUCCGCCCGCGCCCGGGGCCCCGCGUUCGGCGGGCUGUGCGUGGCCGCGCCCGGGGGGCGAACAGGUCCUUCGGAGCGCGCUUUCUAACGGCCGGCGUCCGUGGAGCGGCUCUGAGCCUGCGUCCGCCCCGCAAGUUCUCCCGGGGUGCAGUGCUGCUCUCCCCGAGGUCCCGAGUUGCCCGGGCGGACGUGGAGCCGGCGUCUCUCCACUUCCUCCUGGGUCCGCGCGGCGGCACGGCCGGCGAGGCUUCCCCGGGCGCGCGGGGACCCGGCCAUGGGCCGCGGGGUGGGUCGGCUGCCCGCCGGGAGGCAUGGCUCGGGGGCCGGCUGCUAGCAGCGCCGCAGCCCGGGCUCCCGGGCCGGCAUGAGGACGGCCACGGGGGAACGAGUGCGGCCCGCGGGACCGUAGCCUGCGUCGCGCCGGGGACAAAGAAGCCAUGCAGUGACACCUGCUAAGACUUGUUGGUAGCCAUGUCGGAGCCCCACAGGGUCCAGUUCACCUCUCUCCCAGGUUCUCUGAAUCCUGCAUUUUUGAAGAAAUCCCGGAAAGAGGAGGUUGGGGGAGCGGAGCAGCAUCAGGACUGCGAACCGGCUGCAGCAGCCGUUCGAAUUACACUUACCCUCUUUGAGCCGGAUCAUAAGCGCUGCCCAGAGUUCUUCUACCCAGAGCUGGUGAAGAACUUACGAGGGAAGGUGAAAGGACUUCAGCCCACAGACAAGAAGAAAGAUUUCUCAGAUCCUUUCAAUGAUGAAGAAAAGGAAAGGCAUAAAGUGGAGGCCCUUGCCCGGAAAUUUGAAGAAAAAUAUGGUGGAAAGAAACGUAGAAAAGACCGAAUACAAGACUUGAUUGAUAUGGGUUAUGGUUAUGAUGAGUCCGAUUCCUUCAUCGAUAACUCUGAGGCGUAUGAUGAGCUUGUUCCUGCUUCUUUGACUACAAAGUAUGGAGGAUUUUACAUUAAUUCGGGAACCCUGCAGUUUAGACAAGCAUCAGAAUCUGAGGAUGACUUCAUAAAAGAAAAGAAGAAAAAAUCUCCAAAGAAGCGGAAGUUGAAGGAAGGUGGUGAGAAGAUAAAGAAGAAGAAAAAAGAUGACACUUAUGACAAGGAGAAGAAAUCGAAAAAGUCCAAGUUUUCCAAAGCCGGCUUCACAGCCCUCAAUGCCAGUAAGGAGAAGAAGAAAAAGAAGUAUUCUGGGGCCUUGAGUGUUAAAGAGAUGCUGAAGAAAUUUCAGAAGGAGAAAGAGGCUCAGAGAAAGAGGGACGAAGAGCACAAGCCUGUAGCGGUCUCAGCAGCGGAAGCUCAGGGCCUGCGGGAACUGGAGGGCACCUCUGACCCCUUGCUCUCACUCUUUGGCUCUACUUCUGACAACGACUUGCUCCAGGCAGCCACUGCCAUGGACGCACUGACUGACUUGGACUUGGAGCAGCUGCUCAGUGAGUCUCCAGAAGGAAGCCCUUUCCGUGAUAUGGAUGAUGAAAGCGAUUCCCUUGGGGUGGGACUGGACCAGGAAUUCAGGCAGCCCUCUUCCCUUCCCGAAGGCCUGCCUGCGCCCCUGGAGAAGCGCGUUAAGGAGCUGGCUCAGGCUGCCAGAGCUGCUGAGGGGGAGAGCAGACAGAAGUUCUUCACCCAGGAUGUUAAUGGCGUCCUCUUAGACAUAGAGGCACAGACCCGGGAGCUGAGCAGCCAGACUCGUUCUGGGGUGUACGCCUACCUUGCUUCCUUCCUGCCGUGCAGCAAGGACACCCUGGUCAAACGCGCGCGAAAACUGCACCUCUGUGAACAGGGGGGGCGUCUGAAGGAGCCUCUCCAGAAGCUUAAGGAAGCCAUUGGCAGGGCGAUGCCAGAGCAGAUGGCCAAGUACCAGGAUGAAUGCCAGGCACACACGCAAGCCAAGGUCGCUAAGAUGCUGGAAGAGGAGAAAGACAAGGAGCAGAGAGAACGGGUUUGUUCUGAUGAGGAAGAAGAUGAAGAAAAGGGGGGCAGGAGGAUAAUGGGGCCCCGGAAGAAGUUCCAGUGGAACGAUGAAAUCAGGGAGCUGCUCUGUCAGGUGGUGAAGAUCAAGCUGGAGAGCUAUGACCUGGAGAGGAGCAAGGCCCAGUCCUGGGAGGACUACGUGAAGGCGUUUCUGGAUGCUGAGGUCAAACCUCUCUGGCCCAAAGGCUGGAUGCAGGCCAGGACUCUGUUUAAGGAGAGCAGACGAGGCCACGGGCACGUGACAUCAAUCCUGGCCAAGAAGAAAGUCAUGGUCUCUUCCAAAAUGAAGGUGAAGGAACCAUCUACUAAGCCUGAUAAAAAGGUUUCCGUCCCAUCAGGCCAGAUUGGCAGCCCCCUUGCUUUGCCUUCAGAACACCUGGGAGGAGGCCUGAGUACUGGAGCUGCGAACAGGGAGCUCUCGUCCCAGGCGUCUGGCAGCCUUGCUAAUCCUGCUCCUAUCAACCUGGAGGAUUCGUUGGAUGGAGACUUGAUCCGUAAUUCAGCCUCAUCGCUGGAGGCUGUGUCCAAGGAACUGGCUGCACUGAAUAGCAGAGCCAGCGGGAGCUCUGAGUUCACACUGCCCGCACCCUCGAAAGCGCCUGCAGAGAAAGUUGCAGGUGUUUUAUGUACGGAAGAAAAAAGGAACUUUCCGAAGCCCAGCCCUUCUGCCCCACCACCCUCUAGCUCCUUGCAGUCACCCCUCAAUUUUCUGGCUGAACAGGCUCUGGCACUGGGGCAGUCCUCUCAGGAGAAAAAAUCAGAGAGUUCUGGCUACAAAGAGCUGUCCUGUCAGGGUCCCCUUAGCAAAGGCCUGUCAGAAGUGCACCCAUCCAAAACCAAGCACCACGGUUUGCCACGGACGUCUCACGCAGCCCAGGCGGUAGCUCCCGUGCCUGGCUCCCAGGUCAAAGUCUUUCAUGCAGGCACUCAGCAGAAGAGCUUCACCCCCGCAACACCAUUUGUCGGUAAGCUCCAGGGCCCAAAGCCUGCCUCCCCUCAGUGUCACCGGUCCCUCCUCCAGCUUGUCAAGACAGCUACCAAAGGCCAGAGCUUCCAUCCCUCCACACCGGCCUGCUCAGGAGGAACGCCAGCCUCCAGCAGCAGUUCUCACAAGACGCCAGUUUCGUCCUCCGCUGCCCUGAGCCAUCCAGCAAAACAGCACCCAGCCAGCUCUUCAGGGCCGUCUUACAAGAACAGUCCCUUUGCUGGCUCUCUCUCCAAACAUGGGGUUUCCUCUGGCAGCUCUUCCUCCGGAGGAACACCGGUCCAGAGCUCUACAUCCGGGAACCUGCUCCCUGGGGUGCAGCCUUCCUCCACAGGGCAGCCCACCAGCCGACCCGCCACAGGCUCUGGAGUGAAAAAAACGCCUGCUUCCCAGAAGCUGACCCUGGUGGCCCCUCCCGGUGGUCCAAAUGGAGAUUCUAGCGGUGGGACCCAGGGGGUGGCAAAGUUACUGACCUCCUCCCUGAAGCCCAGUGCAGUUAGCAGCGUGACAUCGUCUACCUCCUUGCCAAAAGGAACGAGUGGGGCUGUGCUGCUGACCAGCUCCUCACCCUUAAAUCUGCUGUCUUCGUCCUACAAGGCAGGCAGCCCAAAGCUGCCCGGGACCUUGAACUCGAACCCCCUGGGGAUUAUCUCCCAGCUUCCCCUCCACGUAUUCUCCUUUAGCGCCGACUCCCCUGCCAAGGCAGGGGUCUCCAAGGAUGCCAUCGUCACAGGCCCUGCACCCGGGACGUUCCACCACGGCCUCAGCCACAGUCUCCUGGCUGGCUUGCACUCCAGCCCGCCCCGCGCAGCGCCUGUCCCACACCCCGCCGUGUCCACUCACAUCCCGCAGAGCCUGCCAGGUAAUUCCCAGGUGGUCGGUGCCACGCGCACGAUGGGCCGUGCCCCUCCCCCAGCAGAGGUCUUGUCUGCUGCCAAGGAUUUCGAUGUCUGCACCUUGUCAUCACCGUGUUGUCUUGGUUUGUCCUCUGAGGCUCUGGCUCUGUGGGUACUCAGAAUGACACAGGCUCCUACAGCUUUUGACAUUUUCCAGGCCUGCCCUACCCAGUGUGAUCACAGAGGAUGUCGUGGUGGCCUGUGUGCAAGGCUAAGGAGUUCCCACCCCUUAGCUCAGCCUUUCCUCUUCAGUUAGCAGGACUAGAAGGGUCAUGGUGCUGAUUGCCCGAGGGCUCGCUGGGGCACUGCAGGCCUUUCAGUUCUCACGGCUUCCCCUGCCAGCUAACAGCAGACUCUCUCAGCUUAGUUAAAGUGAAAGGGAAAGUCCACGUAGCAGCGACAGGUGACAGUGGCUUCAGGACGGACCCUUACCUCUGAUGUCAGCGUGUAUCCACGAGAGGAGAUGCUUUCAGUUCAGUUCAGACGUGAACGCAGAGAUGUGGGACAUGACUGGACUGAGGCAGCGUUCCCAUUCUUCCCUUGCCUCUCCUCCCCAUAGAACAGUGAUGCCAGAAAGGGCACUCUGCAAGCCCUGGGUUUACAGCUGUGAGAAGAGGGUUCAGACGCCCUGGGCCAGCACCUGUGUGGUGAGCAGUUGGCCUCACUCUGUCCUGGGAGCGAGGCUUCUUGGCUCCUAGGCCCGCUUAAGGCAGUGCUGCUGUGCGCCCUCAUGGGAUCUUGGUUUAGCCCGCUGCUCUUCUUACUUCUCUCAACCUGCUCCAGAAACGAGCAGGGGCUGUACUGGUCAGGGGAGAGCCAGUCUUCGGGAAGCUGAGUCUGGGGUAGCCCUGGUGGCCUGGGACCAUGGGCAGCUGCCCAGCUGGGUGUGCCGCACCGAGAGCUUUGGCCCCGUGUCCUGAGGCUCAUGUGUUUGUAGUGAACGCCAGAGGCCAUCUGGGUGCAAGAAUGGUUCAUAAAUCCCCAAGGUAGAAUUGUUGCUUCUUCAGAGAAAGAAACUGGGAGGCUGAGCCAGUAUCAGCAAUCACUCCCUUUUCCUCUGGAGAAGCGUCAGGUACAGGGGCUGACUCCACAAGCUGGUGGUCACAGCUCUCGCCAUUCAGGCAGGAGCUGUGGCUUUUGAAAGAGAUUGCCCCGCUUCUGUUUCCUUUCGGGGACACUCUUUCAAACAGAAAAUUAUCAAAGAGCCAUUUGGAAACAUGACCACUGGUCUGUGGCAUCUUUACCAGAAAAGGGAAAAGCAUUUUCUUGUAGCAUUUCCUUCCUGGUUUUCCUGUGAAUAUUAAAAAGCCGUCAGAAAAGCAUCCGUGCUGAAAUGGGCUAUUUGAAUGUCUCUCCCUGCGACGUUCCUCACGUUGCAGGAGUACCUGGAUGUAAAGAAAAGCUGUCUGCUCCACCCAGCUGUGACUGGUGUCUGCUUCGCCUUCUUUCCUGUGUGGACUCAGAAUGCCUGUGCUUCUGAGCUAGUGCUUAGAGGACCUGAGGGUCUUCUGUUGGCGUGGGCACUCAGGGUGCUCCUCAGGCCUCCCCACCGAGUCUGCCCGCCACAGGUCGGCGGCCAUAGCUGAGAAUGCGGCCUGGUGCGCAGCAGAGCUGCGGCCCCGUGACCGGGGUACCCCGCCAGUCAUCACCCCUGCGGUGGCCGCACACGCAGAUGCUUCUCAGCUUCAUGGGAAAGGGCCCAGUGUACCCCGGAAGUUGUGACUUUCGGAGGAGAGGCUAGAAGCUGAACAAGGAGGUCUCGGAAGCCGGAUAAUGACUAUGCUCCUUCUGCCAUUGGUUGUCUCCCGGAGAGGGCGUGAGCGCUUAGUGCAGCGUCUCUGGGCACAUGUGAUGUGCCUUCAGUGUGGGGAGCAGCCCCGUGCUUCUCUGGAGGCCCUGAGCGGCCUGGUGCUCCGGGCCUCGUGGCUCUGCUGCGGACAAUCGUUGUGGGGGCAGCGCUAGCCUGGGGGCGCGCUAGGUCGUGUUCGGAGCUCUAGUGCCAGGCAACGCGGGGGUGCACCUGUGCUUCAGAUCCGCCCGACCCCUCGCAUUCGGUCAGAGUACCUCAUGGUGCCCUACUGGUCAGGGGCUCCUUCUGGCUGCCGUGGGGUCCCUGGAUGGUUGUGGUGCCCCUCCACCCUCAGGCUGUGUGCCCAACAGGACCAGGCUGGCCAACGCCGCAGCUGGGAGACUUUCCUUGUUCUCUGAAGAGCACUCCGAACACCCGACCCCUGCACUGUGGGGGCCAGUCUCUCCACUGAACGUGACCGUGAAGCUCUUUUAGAGAAAAGGCCUUUGUAGAUUCAGCAACUGUGGUAGGGUUUUUAAAAGACACUUAUUUUGGGCUCAGUUUUCAUCCUUACCAUUAAAUGCAUUGGAUAGAACGGGACUAUUCUUCGCACGUCAUGUUGUUCCUAGGAAGACAUAAUUCCAGUGCCUUUAUGGUGGAGCAGAAUCAGACACACAUCCAUUCAGCUCUGAGUGGAUCUCAGAUGAAGACCUUUUUUAAAGAUACGGCUGUACUUAAGACAUAGCCAGUUUUAUUUAAUUGGGUUUUUUAUGGUUGCACAUCAUAAUCUGUGCCAUCCUGACUUGAAGGUCAUCUGGGCCCCAAAUCCCAGGUCCAGUUCAGCCAAGGCCCCGUUGGUUUCUCCACAAUUCAUGCAGGCAGACCACAGAGCCUCAAGGCCCUUCUUCAUCUCUUUGAGGGCCGAGGAUGCGAGGGGUUCCAAGUCACAGGUAGACAUUCCAGUUUAUUUAGAAACCAUUCUCAGGCGGAGCUGCAGGAACAGGCCUCUGUGAAGCGUCUGCUGUGUAGAAACAGGCCUCGAGGUCCUGGCUUUCCAGGCAGCAGGGCUGUGCAUUGACUUAAGGGUGACGUGCUGAUGAGCUUGAGAGGACGUCAGAGACAGACUAGGACGGUGACCCGGAGCUCAAGUCGUCACGCUGUUCUCACUCAGCCAGUGGCUGCUUCACUAGGAUUUUUAGGGCACUUGCCUGUCCUGUGAAGUCUGAACUGACUGCUGCAGCUGAGUGAUUUCAAGUAUGUUGAGAGUAAACAGCCUCGUCAGAAUGUACGCCUGUGUGUGGAGACACAGGCAGCUCUUUUGGUUCCUGACUCCCAGGGUACAGCGCUCAGUAACUCAUGAUUGACGCAGGGGUUGCCCAGUUUCCAGGGGAGCAAGACGUCUGCCAGCUAGUCGGCCAGGCCUCUGCUCUAACUUCUUUUUUACAUAAGAACCAACACGUGUUCACAUUGGGCUAAGUGGAUUCCUUAUCCCUUUAUUACAUAUAUUUUUUGCAACUUGGGUUUCCAGUUUGUUUACAGAAUAGUCUUAGGUAGUAGCAAAAGAGCCAAAGAAGAGAUUUGUAUCGCUGAGCUCAGAGCCGCGCAGAGGCCGUCCGUGCAGGCUGAGCCCUGGGAGCCCCCGCGCCCUCCCCUGCCGUGCCCCUCCUCCCGGGUGCCACUGAGCGUGCCGCUGGAGCAGGACACCCUCCUCCUUAGGAAUCUAGUGAUGCCUCUUGCCUCAGGGAAACGUUUCUUUGAUGGGGAGUUUAUGAGGUUUCUUUUCCUUGUUGAUGCUUUAUUUGUGGUAACGAAAGAGUGAAUGACUUAAAAAGCCAUGGCAAGGCAGGUCCGCGGGCGGAGCGGGCUCGCGGCCACAGCGCUGCAGGGCUUUCCUUGCCGGGGCAUUUCUUGGAUGUGAGAGGGCUGUGGCUUUUGUGCAGCAACUAUGUUGGUGUUGGGGCGGUGUGGAAAUUGUUAAUCUUGUAUAAAGCAACUCAAUAAAUUGUUUCAAGAUUUCCAAAA